rnacentral:lncRNA from 1 species
UCCGGUAAAGCGAAUGAGUGAAACAUAUACCUGCUCUUCUUUCUUGAUUUUUUGUGUGGCACAUUUUUUUUUUUUUAACAGAUACAGCACUGACACCUGAAAUACGGGUAUAGCCUUAUUCCUGAAGAGUUUUGUUUUGGUAGUGGCUGCUGCUACUGCCCUUUUCCUGCCCAUUGUCUUUGUGUGUGAUUUUCACAAAACCAAACAUCAGUGCACCAUGAAAAAUAUAUAGCUGUGAAAUAAAAUUGUAAAUAUUUUUAUUUUACCUAUUAGAUCUUGAGCCCCCUUUGUACAGUUUUUGCACAUUAACAGGUGCCUUCCUGUUUGAACAGCAUCUCUUAUGAAAUGCUGAUUACAAUGUGAUAGUUGCUGUUCUGGGCAGAGGUUCCUGCUGAGUUACGGUAAUUG